GGAAAUAUGGGAUGCGUCCAUGCAGACAGAAGACCCCCGCCUUGUCAGGGCCUUUGGUGAGGCCUAAGAAAAAUGUGGGUGCCUCAUCCACACUGACAGGAUUCUCCAGCCUCCUCAGGACCCACUGUGAAGGUUUGGGAAGAUUUGGGGCCACAUCUAUGCUGACAGGAGCCCCAGCCUCCUCAGGUCUUAUGGUGAGGCUUGAGGAAAAUGUGGGCCACCUCAACACUGACAGGACCCCCGUCCUCCUCAGGACCUGCACUAAAGCUUCAGGAAAUAUGGGGCUGCGUCUAUGCUGACAGGAGCCCACAGCCUCCUCAGGAUCCGCGGUGAGUUUUCAGGGGACGUGGGGCCAUGUCCAGGCUGAUAGGAGCCCCCGGGCACCUGAGGACUUUCUGUGAGUCUUCCAGAGGAUGUGAGGCAUAGUCCACAGUGACAGGAGACCCGCCGUCCUUAGGACCCGCUGACCAUGAAUCAGGAACACGUGGGGCCACGUCCGCACUCACAGGAGCCGUGCUUCCUCAGGCCCCCCUGGAGGACUCUGGAGGCGUUGUUGGGGGUCACGUCCACAUCAGAAGGGACUACUCAGAACCACAGGGAGGGCCCCCCACUCCGGAGGAUGCUUCCUGCCCCUCUGCGCUCCUUUUUGGAACACAGCAGACACAUCUCCGUGCCUCCAGCACCUCUGCAGUCAUGGUUUAUAGCAUCUUCCAGGUAUCCUAUUGGGGACCACGGCGUCGUGUAUGUAACCAUCCAGCUGCUGUUUGACAACAUUGGGGGGAUUCUGACUUUUGUUGGUUGUGGGGUGUGUGUGUGUCUAUCACAUGAAGCUAUCACAUGCAGCUAUCAGAUCUUCC
rnacentral:lncRNA from 12 species